UUCAGGGUUGUGCCUCAGUGGUAGAGCACUUGCCUAGCAUGUGUGAGGCACUGGGUUUGAUUCUCAGCACUGAAU
rnacentral:tRNA from 1 species